CAGGGGAUCGCAAGACCUUGCGCUAAAGGAGCGGCCGAUGUCUGAUUAGCUAGUUGGUGGGGUAAAGGCUUACCAAGGCAACGAUCAGUAGUUGGUCUGAGAGGACGGCCAACCACACUGGGACUGAGACACGGCCCAGACUCCUACGGGAGGCAGCAGUGGGGAAUUUUGGACAAUGGGCGAAAGCCUGAUCCAGCCAUGCCGCGUGAGUGAAGAAGGCCUUCGGGUUGUAAAGCUCUUUUAGUCGGAAAGAAAGAAUUGCAAUGAAUAAUUGUGAUUUAUGACGGUACCGACAGAAAAAGCACCGGCUAACUACGUGCCAGCAGCCGCGGUAAUACGUAGGGUGCGAGCGUUAAUCGGAAUUACUGGGCGUAAAGGGUGC
rnacentral:rRNA from 1 species